rnacentral:rRNA from 1 species
GGGUUGUGAGGUUAAGCGACUAAGCGUACACGGUGGAUGCCCUGGCAGUCAGAGGCGAUGAAGGGCGUGCUAAUCUGCGAUAAGCGCCGGUAAGGUGAUAUGAACCGUUAUAACCGGCGAUACCCGAAUGGGGAAACCCAGUGUGAUUCGUCACACUAUCAUUAACUGAAUCCAUAGGUUAAUGAGGCGAACCGGGGGAACUGAAACAUCUAAGUACCCCGAGGAAAAGAAAUCAACCGAGAUUCCCCCAGUAGCGGCGAGCGAACGGGGAGGAGCCCAGAGCCUGAAUCAGCAUGUGUGUUAGUGGAAGCGUCUGGAAAGGCGCGCGAUACAGGGUGACAGCCCCGUACACAAAAGCGCAUGUGUUGUGAGCUCGAUGAGUAGGGCGGGACACGUGGUAUCCUGUCUGAAUAUGGGGGGACCAUCCUCCAAGGCUAAAUACUCCUGACUGACCGAUAGUGAACCAGUACCGUGAGGGAAAGGCGAAAAGAACCCCGGCGAGGGGAGUGAAAAAGAACCUGAAACCGUGUACGUACAAGCAGUGGGAGCACAGGUUUACCUGUGUGACUGCGUACCUUUUGUAUAAUGGGUCAGCGACUUAUAUUCUGUAGCAAGGUUAACCGUAUAGGGGAGCCGCAGGGAAACCGAGUCUUAAUUGGGCGUUAAGUUGCAGGGUAUAGACCCGAAACCCGGUGAUCUAGCCAUGGGCAGGUUGAAGGUUGGGUAACACUAACUGGAGGACCGAACCGACUAAUGUUGAAAAAUUAGCGGAUGACCUGUGGCUGGGGGUGAAAGGCCAAUCAAACCGGGAGAUAGCUGGUUCUCCCCGAAAGCUAUUUAGGUAGCGCCUCGUGAACUCAUCUCCGGGGGUAGAGCACUGUUUCGGCUAGGGGGCCAUCCCGGCUUACCAACCCGAUGCAAACUGCGAAUACCGGAGAAUGUUAUCACGGGAGACACACGGCGGGUGCUAACGUCCGUCGUGAAGAGGGAAACAACCCAGACCGCCAGCUAAGGUCCCAAAGUCAUGGUUAAGUGGGAAACGAUGUGGGAAGGCCCAGACAGCCAGGAUGUUGGCUUAGAAGCAGCCAUCAUUUAAAGAAAGCGUAAUAGCUCACUGGUCGAGUCGGCCUGCGCGGAAGAUGUAACGGGGCUAAACCAUGCACCGAAGCUGCGGCAGCGAACGUAUCACUUAAAGCGAUUCAGCGGGUUACGAUUGACGGAGCGAAGCGACGUCAAAGCGUAUACAAAGUCGAGUCGGUUUAAGGAUACGUUCGUUGGGUAGGGGAGCGUUCUGUAAGCCUGUGAAGGUGGCCUGUGAGGGUUGCUGGAGGUAUCAGAAGUGCGAAUGCUGACAUAAGUAACGAUAAAGCGGGUGAAAAGCCCGCUCGCCGGAAGACCAAGGGUUCCUGUCCAACGUUAAUCGGGGCAGGGUGAGUCGACCCCUAAGGCGAGGCCGAAAGGCGUAGUCGAUGGGAAACGGGUUAAUAUUCCCGUACUUGGUGUUACUGCGAAGGGGGGACGGAGAAGGCUAUGUUGGCCGGGCGACGGUUGUCCCGGUUUAAGCGUGUAGGUGUGUGUUCCAGGUAAAUCCGGUUCACUUUAACACUGAGGCGUGAUGACGAGGCACUACGGUGCUGAAGCAACAAAUGCCCUGCUUCCAGGAAAAGCCUCUAAGCAUCAGGUAACAUCAAAUCGUACCCCAAACCGACACAGGUGGUCAGGUAGAGAAUACCAAGGCGCUUGAGAGAACUCGGGUGAAGGAACUAGGCAAAAUGGUGCCGUAACUUCGGGAGAAGGCACGCUGACAUGUAGGUGAAGUGAUUUACUCAUGGAGCUGAAGUCAGUCGAAGAUACCAGCUGGCUGCAACUGUUUAUUAAAAACACAGCACUGUGCAAACACGAAAGUGGACGUAUACGGUGUGACGCCUGCCCGGUGCCGGAAGGUUAAUUGAUGGGGUCAGCGCAAGCGAAGCUCCUGAUCGAAGCCCCGGUAAACGGCGGCCGUAACUAUAACGGUCCUAAGGUAGCGAAAUUCCUUGUCGGGUAAGUUCCGACCUGCACGAAUGGCGUAAUGAUGGCCAGGCUGUCUCCACCCGAGACUCAGUGAAAUUGAACUCGCUGUGAAGAUGCAGUGUACCCGCGGCAAGACGGAAAGACCCCGUGAACCUUUACUAUAGCUUGACACUGAACAUUGAGCCUUGAUGUGUAGGAUAGGUGGGAGGCUUUGAAGCGUGGACGCCAGUCUGCGUGGAGCCGGCCUUGAAAUACCACCCUUUAAUGUUUGAUGUUCUAACGUGGACCCGUGAUCCGGGUUGCGGACAGUGUCUGGUGGGUAGUUUGACUGGGGCGGUCUCCUCCUAAAGAGUAACGGAGGAGCACGAAGGUUGGCUAAUCCUGGUCGGACAUCAGGAGGUUAGUGCAAUGGCAUAAGCCAGCUUGACUGCGAGCGUGACGGCGCGAGCAGGUGCGAAAGCAGGUCAUAGUGAUCCGGUGGUUCUGAAUGGAAGGGCCAUCGCUCAACGGAUAAAAGGUACUCCGGGGAUAACAGGCUGAUACCGCCCAAGAGUUCAUAUCGACGGCGGUGUUUGGCACCUCGAUGUCGGCUCAUCACAUCCUGGGGCUGAAGUAGGUCCCAAGGGUAUGGCUGUUCGCCAUUUAAAGUGGUACGCGAGCUGGGUUUAGAACGUCGUGAGACAGUUCGGUCCCUAUCUACCGUGGGCGCUGGAGAACUGAGGGGGGCUGCUCCUAGUACGAGAGGACCGGAGUGGACGCAUCACUGGUGUUCGGGUUGUCAUGCCAAUGGCACUGCCCGGUAGCUAAAUGCGGAAGAGAUAAGUGCUGAAAGCAUCUAAGCACGAAACUUGCCCCGAGAUGAGUUCUCCCUGAGACUUAAAGUCUCCUGAAGGAACGUUGAAGACGACGACGUUGAUAGGCCGGGUGUGUAAGCGCAGCGAUGCGUUGAGCUAACCGGUACUAAUGAACCGUGAGGCUUAACCUUACAACGCCGAAG